AUGGCCGUGGCGCCGUUUCCGCCGCCGCCUCUCCUCGCCUCGCACGCCGCCGUCCGAGCCGCAGCCUCACGCGUCGCCGCAUCCCGGACUAUCCGCGUCGCCGGCGAAGACUCCCACCAGCACCCGCCGCAGGUCGCGGCCCUCCGGCGCGGCGACUGGGUAAAGCUCAUCUGUGGCGCCAGCUUCGAGGAUGCUGCCGAUGUCCGGAAUCUCUCCCUUGUCUACACGCUGGCUGGAGUGGAUUGCAUUGAUUGUGCAGCAGAUAAAUCCGUAGUCAGUGCGGUGAAUGAAGGUAUUGAUGUAGCAGCCUCAAUUGUACCAGAAGUUCAAAGGCCUUGGGUGAUGGUUAGCGUUAAUGAUGAUUGCAGAGAUCUUCAUUUCCGCAAAGCUGAAUUUGAUCCUGAAGAUUGCCCACCGAAUUGCUCAAAGCCAUGUGAGAAAGUUUGUCCUGCUGAUGCAAUAUCACUAAAGAGGGUCAUGGUUGGAGGAGAACAUGCUCAGUCCGAUCCAAUAUGUGAUAAACUCGAGGAUGGUGUCAUUAUGGAACGAUGCUAUGGCUGCGGUAGAUGCUUAUCAGUUUGCCCUUAUGACAGAAUAAGUGCUAUGUCCUAUGUACGAGAUCCUGCCACGACAGCUGAACUGUUGAAAAGGAGUGAUGUUGAUGCAAUAGAAAUACAUACCACUGGAAAGGGAAUCGGUAUGUUUAGUACGCUCUGGAACAGCUUGGGUGAGUCAAUCAAUAAUGUGAAGUUGGUCGCAGUAAGCCUGCCUAAUGCUGGUGCAUCAACAAUUGAUUUCAUGAAUGCAACGUACAUGAUAAUGAAGUCUAAUCUGGAAGGGUAUAAUCUUUGGCAGUUAGAUGGUCGUCCUAUGAGUGGUGACAUCGGUUGA
rnacentral:rRNA from 1 species